rnacentral:lncRNA from 1 species
CUCUAUUGAGUAAACUGUGAUUGAUUCCUGAUGGCUGCCCAAAGGGUUGUUUUGGGUUGUUUUUGUUGUUGUUGUUCUUGUUGUUUUAAAUAUUUUUUUGUGUUUUUUUGUUUGUUUGUUUAAAGAUGUUUUUGUUUUUUUUUUAAAGAUUUAUUUAUUUAUUUUGAGAGAGAGCAUGCACGAGCCCACAUGUGAGCACAGUAAGGGGAGGGCAGAGGGAGAGAAAGCAUCCGAGCAGACUCCCACUUAGGGCUUGAUCUCAGGUCCCUGAAAUCACAAGUGGAGCCAAAAUCAAGAGUUAGAUGCUCAACCGACUGAGCCACCCAAGUGUCCCCCAAGUGAUGUUUUGAAAACAAUUCUGAGGCCAAGUCUCAGCUUUAUAGGUUGAUAGCACAGCUGAUUAGUGAUGUCUCUGUGGGCAUGGGAACAAGGAUGAGAAGCAUGGGUUGUGGCAGCUACCAUCCUUGCGUGUUACUACUUUUAAGGAGAUGCACAUCCUGGCCUGAAAUACCUCCAUGGAGAGAAAGACAGUUAAGCAGUAAACUCAGCACUAGUCCAAUCUGAACUUGCAGACUCGAUCAGGGAUAUUAACCAGAGUGUUGGAGUCAUAUUUCAAAAGGAUGCUGCCUGACAUCUUACUUGAGCUUCUAUUAUGAUAUAAAGCAACCAAACGCCAUGUCUUAUACUGCCGCAGACUCAAAAAAGCAUCUACAAUGCGGCCCCGAGGGCUGAUCCAUUUAUUGAAGUCAAAAAAAGGAACUGGUUCACGUGGACUGUGGAGGCUAGCAAGUCCAAAAUCUGCCAGGGCGUUUUCAAGCGUAAAGAUCACGUGCGUCCUAUAUCAAGCAAACACAUCCCAACAGUUCUGCGAAAAUCUGUCCCUUUGAAGAAAAGGAAGAUCACAGUGCUGCUGUUCACUGACCACUCCAUGAGGUGUUCCCUAACCUAAGUCUGUCCUCUGCUUUUCUUACCACUGUUGCAACCCACACCCUAUUUUCAAAUUCCCUGGACCAGUAUAACAGAAGCAAAGGCAUGCACGGAUUUUUAUGAGCCCACAGAAGAAAGGGAAGUUCCCUGUCUUUUUAGUGGUUUUUCAGUGGCUGUUAAAGAGAUUCUCAACCAGAUGUCUCCGUAGGCUUCAAUAAAUGUUAUUUUCCUUCCAUUUAAAAUGUGUUUAACUUUUUUUUUUCUGCACCUUAAUGUCUGAAAAUAGCUGAGUGAAGAGCAGAACCGCUCCCUUUCCCCAGGAACUUGUUACAGUACGCAAGUGCAGGCUGAAGACUGAACAACAGCCACGGGAGAGAGUGUGAGGAG